AGAGUUUGAUCCUGGCUCAGAUUGAACGCUGGCGGAAUGCUUUACACAUGCAAGUCGAGCGGCAGCGCGGGGGCAACCCUGGCGGCGAGCGGCGAACGGGUGAGUAACAUAUCGGAACGUACCCUAUCGUGGGGGAUAACACAUCGAAAGAUGUGCUAAUACCGCAUACGACCUGAGGGUGAAAGCAGGGGAUCGCAAGACCUUGCGCGACAGGAGCGGCCGAUAUCGGAUUAGCUAGUUGGUGAGGUAAAGGCUCACCAAGGCGACGAUCCGUAGCUGGUCUGAGAGGACGACCAGCCACACUGGAACUGAGACACGGUCCAGACUCCUACGGGAGGCAGCAGUGGGGAAUUUUGGACAAUGGGGGCAACCCUGAUCCAGCCAUUCCGCGUGAGUGAAGAAGGCCUUCGGGUUGUAAAACUCUUUCGGCAGGAACGAAACGGUGAGCUCUAACAUAGCUUGCUAAUGACGGUACCUGAAGAAGAAGCACCGGCUAACUACGUGCCAGCAGCCGCGGUAAUACGUAGGGUGCGAGCGUUAAUCGGAAUUACUGGGCGUAAAGCGUGCGCAGGCGGCUCUAUAAGACAGAUGUGAAAUCCCCGGGCUUAACCUGGGAACUGCGUUUGUGACUGUAGGGCUAGAGUGUGGCAGAGGGGGGUGGAAUUCCACGUGUAGCAGUGAAAUGCGUAGAGAUGUGGAGGAACACCGAUGGCGAAGGCAGCCCCCUGGGUUAACACUGACGCUCAUGCACGAAAGCGUGGGUAGCAAACAGGAUUAGAUACCCUGGUAGUCCACGCCCUAAACGAUGCGAACUAGGUGUUGGAGAAGGAGACUUCUUUAGUACCGUAGCUAACGCGUGAAGUUCGCCGCCUGGGGAGUACGGUCGCAAGAUUAAAACUCAAAGGAAUUGACGG
rnacentral:rRNA from 1 species